UGCUGUGGGGGUGAUCUGGCUAAGACAUCUGUCACCCACUGAUGGCCAGGAUUUACUUGGCCUAUUAGGCUGUCCCCUUGCUCCCUUGUCAUUCCAUGUGCUAUGCUCAUUUGGUCAGUAGAGGACAUUCAGAGCCUCAGAGCAACCUCAGGAACAUGAUGAUGGUGAGACAUUAGCUAGUAGAUUUGCAGUUCUGUCUGUAAAGAUUUCUAGUUCCAGAAUGCAAAAGUAAAUAAAUUUACUAGAUUUAACUUUAAAAAUCAUCUGUAACUUU
rnacentral:sRNA from 1 species